rnacentral:rRNA from 4 species
UUGACCUCGGAUCAGGUAGGAUUACCCGCUGAACUUAAGCAUAUCAAUAAGCGGAGGAAAAGAAACCAACAGGGAUUGCCUCAGUAACGGCGAGUGAAGCGGCAACAGCUCAGAUUUGGAAUCUGGUCCUUUGGGGCCCGAGUUGUAAUCUGGAGAGGAUGCUUCUGGCGCGGCGCCGUCCGAGUUCCCUGGAACGGGACGCCGGAGAGGGUGAGAGCCCCGUACGGUCGGACGCCUAGCCUGUGUGAAGCUCCUUCGACGAGUCGAGUAGUUUGGGAAUGCUGCUCAAAAUGGGAGGUAAAUUUCUUCUAAAGCUAAAUACCGGCCAGAGACCGAUAGCGCACAAGUAGAGUGAUCGAAAGAUGAAAAGCACUUUGAAAAGAGGGUCAAACAGUACGUGAAAUUGUUGAAAGGGAAGCGCCCGUGGCCAGACUUGUGCCCGGCAGACCAUCCGGCGCCCCCGCGCCGGUGCACUCUGCCGGGCGCAGGCCAGCAUCGGUUUUCCUAGGGGGAUAAAGGCGGCGGGAACGUGGCUCCCUCGGGAGCGUUAUAGCCCGCCGUGUCAUGCCUCUGGGGGGACCGAGGACCGCGCAUUUAUGCAAGGAUGCUGGCGUAAUGGCCACCGGCGACCGUC